UACGGAGGGUGCGAGCGUUGUCCGGAAUCACUGGGCGUAAAGGGCGCGUAGGCGGCCUGAUAAGUAGGGGGUGAAAUCCUGCGGCUUAACCGCAGGGCUGCCUUCUAAACUGUCAGGCUAGAGCACAGUAGAGGCAGGUGGAAUUCCCGGUGUAGCGGUGGAAUGCGUAGAGAUCGGGAAGAACAUCAGCGGCGAAGGCGGCGACCUGGACAGUAACUGACACUCAACUACGAAAGCGUGGGGAGCAAACAGG
rnacentral:rRNA from 1 species